UGGGGAAUUUUGGACAAUGGGGGAAACCCUGAUCCAGCCAUCCCGCGUGUGCGAUGAAGGCCUUCGGGUUGUAAAGCACUUUUGGCAGGAAAGAAACGUCAUGGGUUAAUACCCCGUGAAACUGACGGUACCUGCAGAAUAAGCACCGGCUAACUACGUGCCAGCAGCCGCGGUAAUACGUAGGGUGCAAGCGUUAAUCGGAAUUACUGGGCGUAAAGCGUGCGCAGGCGGUUCGGAAAGAAAGAUGUGAAAUCCCAGAGCUCAACUUUGGAACUGCAUUUUUAACUACCGUGCUAGAGUGUGUCAGAUGGAGGUGGAAUUCCGCGUGUAGCAGUGAAAUGCGUAGAUAUGCGGAGGAACACCGAUGGCGAAGGCAGCCUCCUGGGAUAACACUGACGCUCAUGCACGAAAGCGUGGGGAGCAAACAGG
rnacentral:rRNA from 1 species